UACGUAGGGGGCAAGCGUUGUCCGGAUUUAUUGGGCGUAAAGAGCGUGUAGGCGGUCAGGUAGGUCCGCUGUGAAAACUCGAGGCUCAACCUCGAGAUGUCGGCGGAAACCAUCUGGCUAGAGUCCGGAAGAGGAGAGUGGAAUUCCUGGUGUAGCGGUGAAAUGCGCAGAUAUCAGGAAGAACACCCGUGGCGAAGGCGGCUCUCUGGGACGGUACUGACGCUGAAACGCGAAAGCGUGGGGAGCGAACAGG
rnacentral:rRNA from 1 species